rnacentral:rRNA from 1 species
CACGCCGUAAACGAUGAAUGCCAGUCGUCGGUGCGCAUGCGUAUCGGUGACACACCUAACGGAUUAAGCAUUCCGCCUGGGGAGUACGGUCGCAAGAUUAAAACUCAAAGGAAUUGACGGGGGCCCGCACAAGCAGCGGAGCAUGUGGUUUAAUUCGAAGCAACGCGAAGAACCUUACCUAGACUUGACAUCCCCUGAAUUACCUGUAAUGAGGGAAGCCCUUCGGGGCAGGGAGACAGGUGG